GACGAACGCUGGCGGCGUGCUUAACACAUGCGAGUCGAACGGAAAGGCCCUGCUUUUGUGGGGUGCUCGAGUGGCGAACGGGUGAGUAACACGUGAGUAACCUGCCCUUGACUUUGGGAUAACUUCAGGAAACUGGGGCUAAUACCGGAUAGGAGCUCCUGCUGCAUGGUGGGGGUUGGAUAGUUUCGGGGGUUGGGGAUGGACUCGCGGCUUAUCAGCUUGUUGGUGGGGUAGUGGCUUACCAAGGCUUUGACGGGUAGCCGGCCUGAGAGGGUGACCGGCCACGUUGGGACUGAGAUACGGCACAGACUCCUACGGGACGGAGGAGUGGGGAAUAUUGCACAAUGGGCGGAAGCCAGGUGCAGCAACGCCGCGUGCGGGAUGAGGGCCUGCGGGUUGUAAUCCGCUUUCGCCUGUGACGAAGCGUGAGUGACGGUAAUGGGUAAAGAAGCACCGGCUAACUACGUG
rnacentral:rRNA from 1 species